rnacentral:lncRNA from 1 species
CUUCAUGAACCUUGUAACCUUGUGCUGGUCUCCUAAGUGAUGUGGUACUGAGUUUUUCACAUCUGCAAAUGAGGAUAUAUUCCAAAGGUUUUAUAAGAUAUUGCCUCCAUGAGUGAUGGAGUCAAGGUUGAACACAGGAGCUGAGAGUUGGCCAUGUCCCGGGCUUUGUUAGAAGUGGGUUUAUUUGACACUGGCUGUGAAAAUGCCACUCAUCAGCAAACAUGCUGCAUUAGGACUCUCCAGAGAAAUGGAAUCUGUGUGUGUGUAUGUGUGUGUAGACUUACAAGAAAUUGGCUCACGUGACUACAGAGGCCAAGUUUCAGGAUCUGCAGGGUGAGAUUAAAACCUGGAGACCCAGGAGAGCUGAUGCUAUGGUUCUGGUCUAAAGGCCAGUAGGUUAGAGACUGUAGAGAACCAGUGUUCUAAUUGUUCAAUGGCAGGGAAAGAAGGCAAUGUCUCUGUCUGAAGGCAGGCAUGAAGAAUCUUACUUCACAAAGGAUUGACCUUUUUUUUUUUUCCUACUCAGGUCUUCAACUGUGAUUGAAAGAAGCCUACCCACAUUACAGAGGACACUCUGCUUUAUUCAUCCUACAGAUUGAAACUGAAUCUCAUCCAAAAGUACCCUCACAAAAACACUUAGAGUAGUGCUUGAGCAAAUAUCUGGGCACCCAUGGCCCAGUCAAGUAGAUACAUAAAACUUCACACAUGCCAACUGUCUUUAAAAAGUAUAGAACCUGCACAUUUCAAAGCCAAAAAACUGGAACGUAUUUUUGUAUGUGCACUGGCUAUUCAAGUUUGUUUGUGCGAAGAAGAAACCACUAUUUUGCUCUCCCCUGUACCAUGGGGCUAGAAGUCUAACAACUGUAUCUGCAGAGUCCCUUACCUCCUAAGGUCCUAAAUACAAUCUGCAUUUUGCUAGCAAGUAACACAAAAAGCCUGGAAAGUGGAAUUGAAACCGCUCCCGUUUCUUCCUCUCCAGCAUGUGUGCCUGUCAAAUGGGAGCUUUAGCAGCCUCCAAUUUCCUUUGUAAUCCUGCCUCCGGCCUGUAGAAGAGCUGUAAAACCUGCAGUGAGUUCCUUAAGGACCUAAACCCUGUGUAGCAGCUGCAGCCUGCCUCACUGUAGCAGUGAACCUGGAAGUUGUUUGGUCCUUCUAACUUUCACUCCCCUAGUACUGCUGGCAGUUGAUAAAUGUGAUUCCCUAAGUCAAACUAUUUCUGCUUGAAAUACAGAGACUUUUUGUUUUCCUGUAA